AUAAAAAAAAUCUCUACCACACAUAGUAUUGCAUAAAAAAUACACUUAUAAACUACAACCGCAAGGGCCAAUACUUAGCCCUUUAAAGAAGUGAUUAAUCCACAUCCCUUUUGCAUCAUGGAGAAGCAACAAAACCAUAACGAGUUAAACUCCCGAAUGAUUAUGAGCUACUAAACCUUAAAAAUCAAUGUUUCAUAAUUGAUAAAGUAACUUUUAGUAGAAGUAACAAGCCUUCCAUAUAGUCAUAUAGCUGGUUUUUCUUUAAAAGCAUCAAAGUGCUGACUUAUAGUUUAGACCACAUCACACCACUACACUAUAAAGUUUAGUUUACUGAGGAUUAGCUCAGUAAAUAAGCUAAAAAUACUUUCUACCUUAAUCUCAAAAGUAGGCUUAAAAGCAGCCACCCAAAAACGUUUUAGUUACUGACACCUAAUAAUAAAUAUUCAUACCCAUAUUUUGAGUGCAAAGAAACUUAACAAAAAACUUCCGCGUUAAUGAACAGGCAUUCUAUUAGUAUUAAAGUAAAUCUACCACCCAAAACCUUUAAAAACUUGGAUCAACACAUCAUACUGAUUAUAACUAUACAAAGCGAACUCGGCAAUAAAGUUCCCUGCCUGUUUACCAAAAACAUCGUCUUUUGAGUCACACCUGAUAAAAGAUAAUGCCUGCCCAGUGAAAACUUUAAACGGCCGCGUUAGCGUGAGCGUGCUAAGGUAGCGUAAUAAUUAGCCUUUUAAUUGGAGGCCAGUGAAUGGCAAGACUAGGAACACCUGUACUUUGUAUAUAAAAAAAAUUUUUCAUCUAAGUGAAAAGACUUAGAUAAAAAAGGAAGACGAAAAGACCCCGCGGAACUUCACCUUUUCUCAUGCCUCUGUCUACACACUUAAAGGCCUACAAGGUUUGAUUGGGGCAAUCUUGGAACCAAUAAAGCUUCCAAUUAACUUUAAGAAGUAUUAAAAAUUUUUUAAGGACCAAAAAGUAGUUACCCCGGGGAUAACAGCGUAAUCUAACUUAAGAGUACAUAUCGAAAGUUAGGUUUGCGACCUCGAUGUUGGCUUAAGGAUAUCCACACUAGUGCAACCGCUAUGACAGGACAGUCUGUUCGACUAUUAUUCCCUUACACGAGCUGAGUUAAGACCGGCGCAAGCUAGGUUGGUUUCUAUCUCCUUUUCUCAAAAAUCUCCUUGAUUGUACGAAAGGACCCCAAGGGAUGCACUUAGACAAGCACUUUACUUAA
rnacentral:rRNA from 1 species